CUUCUGCCCACCCCACGAGGACAUAACAUACCCGGUGUCUCACUCAAAUCCAGCUGCUGCUACUGACUUAUUGAUGGCCACCAUCCAGUGGCCUUGGGGAGGCAGUGGGCAGCCCAGCCAUGGCCUGUAAUAAGGAGAGACAACUCAGCACCUGCCCUGCAGUGAAUAAUAGAACAAAAAGCUGCCGGCGCCUGCAGGAUCAAAGCGCAAGAAGAAAAUUUGGACACAGAGGCACAGAGGGAAGAUGGUCAUGUGAAGAUGAAGGCGGAGAUUGGAGUUAAGUAUCCGCAAGCUAAGGAACUCCUGGGGCUCCCAGAAGCUGGAAGAAACAAAGAUCCUUCCCCCAGAGACUUCGGAGGGAGGAUGGCCCUGCAACAUCUUUGUUUUGGCCUUCUAGCUCCAGGCCUGGGAGAGAAUACAUUUCCGUUGUUUUAAACCCAGUUUGUGGUGCUUUAUGGCAGCAGCCCUACGACACUAUGACACCCGGAUAUGAAGGAUGUGUGGUCAUGCUUGAUCUUGAUUUUCAGU